rnacentral:rRNA from 1 species
AACGAACGCUGGCGGCAGGCCUAACACAUGCAAGUCGAACGCCCUAGCAAUAGGGAGUGGCAGACGGGUGAGUAACACGUGGGAACCUUCCCUAUAGUACGGAAUAGCCCAGGGAAACUUGGAGUAAUACCGUAUAAGCCCGAGAGGGGAAAGAUUUAUCGCUAUAGGAUGGGCCCGCGUCGGAUUAGCUAGUUGGUGAGGUAAUGGCUCACCAAGGCGACGAUCCGUAGCUGGUUUGAGAGAACGACCAGCCACACUGGGACUGAGACACGGCCCAGACUCCUACGGGAGGCAGCAGUGGGGAAUAUUGGACAAUGGGCGAAAGCCUGAUCCAGCCAUGCCGCGUGAGUGAUGAAGGCCUUAGGGUUGUAAAGCUCUUUUGUCGGGGACGAUAAUGACGGUACCCGAAGAUAAGCUCCGGCUAACUUCGUG